rnacentral:lncRNA from 1 species
CCAGCUGUCAAAUAUGAAGAUCUAUUGUGGUAUCUUUUUGUUGCUGCUAGAUUUGGUGAACGCCUGGCCUGAAGUCGGGAAAUGGAACAUAAAUAAGAAUAAAAACAACGUCAGAAUUGGAUCUAAUCCUAUUCCUCCUGUACCAACACCAGCGCUAGCUCCAGAGGAACCUCCAGUUCCCGCACCUGCACCCGCACCACCACUAGCACCCGCACCAACUUCAGACGGAGCACCAGCACCACAAGGAGACCCAGGACGACAUGCAUCAGGUCCUGGAACACCAGGAUACCCACCCAGAGGUCCAGGACACCCACCUGGCCCACCAGGAAACCGACCCACUGGAUACCCAGGACAGGGCCUACCUGCAGGCCCAGGACAUGGCACACCAGGAUACCCACCAGGAUACCCAGGGCCCGACUAUGGGUAGGUAGAGAAGACAGUCAAGUUGACAGACCUGAUUGUGGCAAAUAAAUGGCAGAAAUUGAAUGGCUAAACAGAAAAUUUAAGGCUGGAAUUAAAUCUUGAGAUCUUGAGGCCGUGGACUUAUGUAUCAAAGAGAAAAGGUUUUAUUAUUACAAAAUACAUUGUUUGCUUUC